rnacentral:tRNA from 1 species
GGUCGCAUGGUGUAGUGGUUAUCACGUUUGUCUUACACACAAACGGUCGCCGGUUCGAUCCCGGCUGUGGCCA